GCGAAAAGUGAAAGAGAAAUAUGUUUUUUCUUUGCAGGACUGCUCUGAAAAUGUACUUGUAUCUGAUGCUGUUAGUGUUCAUCUGUGACGGGUUCCAUGUCCACAGUCCACCUGGCCCUCUCAUUGUUCAGCUGGGAGACUCAGUGAUGCUGCCCUGCUUUGUAGAAACUCCUCUACCACUGGAAGAUCUGGAAGUGGAGUGGAAAAGAAUUGACAGUGAAACUCUAGUGCACUUGUGGCAGAAUGGAGAGAGUCGACCAGAGUCUCAGGACCAGUGUUAUUUUGAAAGAGCUAAUUUCUUCACUGAAGAGAUCGGUCAUGGAAACUUCUCCCUCCUCCUUGCAAAUGUGACCAGUAAAGAUGCAGGAGUUUAUAAGUGUGUUGUUUACACAAAGCUGGAUUCUGGUGAAACUCUGAUUGAAAUAAAGGAGAUUGAGCGUUUGAUUGUGUCUGGAGCCCAUGUUAUAUCUGCGUAUGCGGGUGAAGAUAUCACUCUGAAUUGCUCUGUAGACUCGCAUCUCCCACCAGAAAAUAUAGAAGAGGUGUCAUGGAAAAAAAUGGAUGAAGAUAUCUUAGUGCUGCUUUAUCAAGAGGGUCAGAUCCUGAUAGAGUCGACUGGUGAGAGAUACGUGGACAGAGUAGAAUUCUUCAGUGCUGAAAAACGAAACAAAGGAAACUUCUCUUUAAGACUGAAGAAUGUCCGAACAGAGGACAAAGGGCUGUAUAUGUGUUUAGCGUUCUCUGGGGCAUUAUCAGCUAACACAACUGUGGAGGUACAGCAGCUGGGUCUUUCCUCUCUGCAUAUUGCAAUUGUCAUUUUGUGUAUACUUGGAUUUGUAAUAGGAUCACUUACACUAGGCUACCUAUCUUACACUUCUUAUAAAAAUAAAGAUGACAGCAGAAGAGCCCUAGCUAUACAGUGUGCACAUGUCCUUUGUCCUAACAUUACUAUGUCCAUUGUCUUUAUCCUCUGGGGUGUCACUGAUGGGUUUUUUACUGAAGCAGCAACCUGUUCAGCCCUUAAUUUUGCUCGGAUCCUUUUUCUGCUUUGGAUUGCUCUCCAUUUGAAAACAUUUCAAGAUUUUCCCCAGCGAUUAAUUACCAUCUUGGCAAUUCUACUACAGUACAUUGUAAUAACUGUUGUUGCAUAUUCGAACAAAGCAGCAAAAAUGUAACAUCACAUGAAUCCGCUGUAACAUCACUAAAAGAACACAGGAAACACAUGUUCAUGUCUCCAUCAGGAAUUUCCACUGAUUUCUAAUAGAAAUGCAGAAGUGAUGGUCAUGUGCACAGCCUGGAAUGAUGCAUGCAAAGAAGAUUUGAGUGUGACACUGGUGCUGUAUUAUAAUAUAACAGAGUAUAAUAUAAUUAUAUAUAAUUUUGCUGUAUUAUAUUAUUAUAAACUCUUCUCCAGUGCAGCUUUGAAUAAAUCACAUCAGUAUCUGAUUGCUGCAGUUUAAAGUUUGUAUGAAUGAUCCCUAAAUCCAAAGUUUUAAGUUCUGUAUUUAGAUUUUUUCCUUUAGAUGUUUUUCUUCACAAAGCAUGGUGUGUACUUAUACUGUGUGUAAUAUAUACUAACAUUUUUUUUUUGUUUUUAUUGACUAGCUAUUUUUAUGGAUAUUGUGUAUAAUUUAACCUCUGAAGCGAAAGUGGCUCUGAUAAUCAUGCUCCUGCUGCUACUUAUUCCUAUUCUGGGUGUUAUCGCUGUAGCAUGCUGUAAAAGGACUAAAAAAAUUCAUCCAUUCACGAUUUACAUGAUUGUAGAACUCAGUGAUAUUCUACGAAUAACUGUUUUUACACUGGGAUUUC